CACACUACAUUUGUAAAUCAGAAAAAGGCAGUAGCUAAUUCAUUAUUUCUUGUCUAAAACUAUGAUUCUGUUGAAUAAUUUUUUAGUUAUCUGUUGUCCUAUUCUUUGGGUAUUAGUUGGCUACGUGUCUUUAAGCUUCCUAGUUAUCAGGAUUACAUGUUAUAUUGUUUUUUAGUGGCUAAGUGGUUUCUAAGUAGUUGCUAGGUGGUUUCUAAGUAGUUGCUAAGUGGUUGCUAAUUUCUAGCUUAAUUUAGUUGUUGUUUUUAGCCCAUUUUGUAAGGUCGUUUUCUUUCUCUUGAAGAAUAUGAACAGAUGAAUUUCCUCUUCCAAUUGGCUUGAGUUUACAUUCCUUUAGUUUGUUUCACUUGUAAAUCUGUUUAUGCCCAGCAGGUGUUAGCUUUAAUUCCUCAAAGAAUAUUCACCUUAAAGCUUUUGUUCAACUCUGUUUUUCUACAAUUCCAUUAUAUUUUUGGAUUUUGGACUGAUGAAUUCCUGUGAUUGUUAUUGUUCACCUUGCCGAUGGUUAGGUCGCAAUUCGGCUGAUGAUUAUUCUCCCACAGGUCUCAACCUGCUUGUUAUCUGCCAGCCUUCCAAUUUAUCAGUUUGCUUCUUUUGUACUGGCCUCUCUCAGCAACACUCUAGAAGAUAGGAUUAC
rnacentral:lncRNA from 1 species